UGGGGAAUAUUGGACAAUGGGGGGAACCCUGAUCCAGCCAUGCCGCGUGUGUGAAGAAGGCCUUAUGGUUGUAAAGCACUUUAAGCGAGGAGGAGGGUACUGGUAUUAAUACUACCAGGUACUGGACGUUACUCGCAGAAUAAGCACCGGCUAACUCUGUGCCAGCAGCCGCGGUAAUACAGAGGGUGCGAGCGUUAAUCGGAUUUACUGGGCGUAAAGCGCGCGUAGGUGGUUCGUUAAGUUGAAUGUGAAAGCCCCGGACUCAACCUGGGAACUGCAUCCAAAACUGGCGAGCUAGAGUAGGGCAGAGGGUGGUGGAAUUUCCUGUGUAGCGGUGAAAUGCGUAGAUAUAGGAAGGAACACCAGUGGCGAAGGCGACCACCUGGGCUCAUACUGACACUGGGGUGCGAAAGCGUGGGGAGCAAACAGG
rnacentral:rRNA from 1 species